GAGAAAGCUCACAAGAACUGCUAACUCUCACUCCAUGUGUGACAACAUGGCUUUCUCA
rnacentral:tRNA from 1 species